CUUGUAUUUAUUUCUUUUUGCUUUAAAAUCUACACCUAGGGGUGUCCAAGCAUUUGGAGGAUUUGUCCAUUUAAAAAAAGAAGAGAAAAAGGAAACAGCACUGGUCUUAGUCAGUAUUGCACCCGAGCUCUCACAUUCCCAUGUUUUGGCCAUCUGACAACAGCUAAAAUAAACCUCCAGCUUCCAUUUAUCUCCUGCAGCACUCACCUAGCUCCCAACUUCCUUCCUCAGUCGUCUAAUCACUCGGUGCACUUUGUUCCAAACUCCUGCAGAGAUAAGUUAUGCAGCAGCUGCUGCAUUUUAACUUGAUAGUCUGCAUUCAAAACAGGAAGAAAAAAAAAUCUGAAAGACAGCACACACCUGGGCAGGCGUUUCUUUUUAGAGUGUGGCUGAAUAAGAUCUGUGCUCUGUAUAAUGGAUUCAUGGGCUACCUGUGUGUGCUGAUAAACUCCAGAACACACAGGAAACGCAGCGGCGGCAGACCGUCAACUCCAACCCGCUCGCAACGCCGACCGGCCUCCAUCUGUUGCCACUUUUGAAAAGAGCGGCUGAAAACACGUUUGUGUAAUUUGGCAUGUUCUUUCAAAUGGAAAUAAUCCGCCUGUUUUUCCUUCCGAGGGGAGGCUCCCCUCUGUCGUGGCUUUCAAGGCUCUUGGAAGUGAACCUGGGCUCCAGCCUAACCCAGUCCACCGGUUCUGAACAUGCUGUUGGAGGAAGACGGGGAAAUGGCAACACAACUGGCUGCCGUGGCUCCUAGACUGGAUGCCCGAGAAGGGGUGAUGAAAGGCUUCUGAAAGCCCUGACCCAUCGAGGCAUGGACUCUACUAGAUCCCUGAAGGUGUGCUGUGGUAUCUGCACCAAGAUGUUUGCGACAGAUCCUUUAAGUCCUGCUGCAUUAUCCUGCUGGAAGAGGCCACAGCCAUCAGUGAGCACUGUUUCCAUGAAAGGGUGUACAUGAUUUGCAACAAUGCUUAGGCAGGUGGUACGUGUCAAAGUAACAUAGAUGGCAGGACCCAAGGUUUCUCAGAAUUGCCCAAAGCAUCACGCUGCCUCUGCCAACUGCCUUCUUCCUGCAGUGCAUCCUGAGGCCGGGUGUCCUCCAGUAAGCAACACACCAGAAAAAGAAGAAAGAAAAUGUGAUUCAUCAGACCAGAAUACCUUAUUUUAUUGCUCUGUGGUCCAGUCCUGAUGCUCGCAUGCACAUUGUUGGUCAUUUUUAGUGGUGAAGGGGGUCAGCAUGGGCACCCUGACUGGUCUGCAGCUAUGCAGCCCCCUACACAAUAAAACUGUGAUGCACAGUGUAUUCUGACACUUUUCUAAGGGCAACUAAACCUCCUGUGUGGCUUUGGAUUACAAAUGGAAAGAGUCCCAUAAUAUAACCACAACAUUACAGGACACUGUGAUGACAGUGCAUCUCAAAGAAGGACAGUAUUUGAUGCAGU